UGUAUGACCUUGGACAAGAUACUGAACUUGGCUAAGUGGAUUGUCCUCAUCUAUAAAACGAGGACAUACUUUGCUGUCUGCCAGGAGACUUCAAGGCUUGAAUGAGGCAGCAUCUGUGGAGCUCUUUGUGAACUGCAAAGCCACUUGUACUUAAUGACAAUUCUUAGAAGAUGAAGAGACUGGAACAGAUUUUUAUUAUUUCAAAACGAAAACAAAACCUGCACAAUUAGUAAAAAGUAAAUGGGGAAAGGGAGACCAGAAACUUGGCUGGGACCAUGGCUGAGCGGAGGUUACAGAGCUAUUCUGAUUGGCCUCGCAGUGUCAUCCACUCGAUUGGUUGUAAGAAAGUAGGCUCAUUGUA
rnacentral:lncRNA from 1 species